GACGAACGCUGGCGGCGUGCUUAACACAUGCAAGUCGAACGGAAAGGCCCUGCUUUUGUGGGGUGCUCGAGUGGCGAACGGGUGAGUAACACGUGAGUAACCUGCCCUUGACUUUGGGAUAACUUCAGGAAACUGGGGCUAAUACCGGAUAGGAGCUCCUGCUGCAUGGUGGGGGUUGGAAAGUUUCGGCGGUUGGGGAUGGACUCGCGGCUUAUCAGCUUGUUUGUGGGGUAGUGGCUUACCAAGGGUUUGACGGGUAGCCGGCCUGAGAGGGUGACCGGCGACAUUGGGACUGAGAUACGGCCCAGACUCCUACGGGAGGCAGCAGUGGGGAAUAUUGCACAAUGGGCGGAAGCCUGAUGCAGCAACGCCGCGUGCGGGAUGACGGCCUUCGGGUUGUAAACCGCUUUCGCCUGUGACGAAGCGUGAGUGACGGUAAUGGGUAAAGAAGCACCGGCUAACUACGUG
rnacentral:rRNA from 1 species